rnacentral:rRNA from 1 species
GACGAACGCUGGCGGCGUGCUUAACACAUGCAAGUCGAACGGAAAGGCCCUGCUUGCAGGGUACUCGAGUGGCGAACGGGUGAGUAACACGUGGGUGAUCUGCCCUGCACUUCGGGAUAAGCUUGGGAAACUGGGUCUAAUACCGGAUAGGACCGCACUUUAGUGUGUGUGGUGGAAAGUUUUUUCGGUGUAGGAUGAGCUCGCGGCCUAUCAGCUUGUUGGUGGGGUAAUGGCCUACCAAGGCGGCGACGGGUAGCCGGCCUGAGAGGGUGUACGGCCAAAUGGGGAUGGAGAUACGCCCAAGACUCCAACGGGGGGCGGCGGUGGGAAAAAUGGCACAAGGGGGGCAAGCUGGAGGCGGGAAGGCGGGGUGGGGAUGAAGGCCUUCGGGUUGUAAACUCCUUUCGCUAGGGACGAAGCUUUUUGUGACGGUACCUAGAUAAGAAGCACCGGCUAACUACGUG